CGGCGCGCGGGGCGCAGAGCCGGCUCGGCGCGUCGACUGCCCAGAGUCCGCGGCCGCGGCGCCCCGAGGGAGUAGCCGCCUGGAACCUUCCACCCUGGCCCUCUUAUAAAGAAGGCUGUUAUGAGCAAGAACGCCAUC